GGCUGGUCCGAGUGCACUUGUUGUUUAUAACUAAUUAAUCACAACCAGUUACAGAUCUCUUUGUUCCUUCUCCAUUCCCAUUGCUUCACUUGACUAGCUUUUA
rnacentral:Y_RNA from 1 species